AAUUAACGCUGGCGGCAUGCGUAACACAUGCAAGUCGUACGAGAAAGCCCGGUUCGCCGGGCGAGUAAAGUGGCGCACGGGUGAGUAACGCGUGGGUAAUCUACCCCGGUCUGGGGGAUAACGCACCGAAAGGUACGCUAAUACCGCAUGACCCGACGGGUCCCUGGACCCAUCGGCAAAGGUGGCCUCUGCAUGCAAGCUACCGAACCGGGAUGAGCCCGCGUCCUAUUAGCUUGUUGGUGGGGUAAUGGCCCACCAAGGCGACGAUGGGUAGCUGGUCUGAGAGGACGGCCAGCCACACUGGAACUGGUACACGGUCCAGACUCCUACGGGAGGCAGCAGUGAGGAAUAUUGCGCAAUGGGGGAAACCCUGACGCACCGAUGCCGCGUGGGUGAAGAAAGCCUUCUGGUCGUAAAGCCCUGUCAGGGGGGAAGAAUAGCCCCGGGGGUAAUAUCUCCCGGGUGUGAUGGGACCGCUUAACGAAGCUCCGGGUGACUCCGAGCCCUUAUCCGCGGGAAGAUCGAGGGCGCGAGCGGUAUUCCGAAUUAUUGGGCGCAAAAGGCGUGCAUGCGGUCGGGCUACUGUGAUGUGAAAGACCAGGGCUUUCCCUCUUUAAGGCGGUGGAAACAGAGUGGCCUUCAGUUUUAGAGAGGAAAUGGCAUUUUCGGGGGUGAGGUGGAUUCUUUCAUAUUCUGAGGGAACGGUGGGGAAAGCGGGUUUUUUGUAUCGAACCGUCCCUCGAACGCCAAAACGGGGGGUGGCGACGAGAUUGAUUUUCUGGGGGGCACGCGCUAUACAUGGCACGAUGGGGUGGGGGGUUUCAAUCAGCCGGGCAAAACACACCAUGUUGGG
rnacentral:rRNA from 1 species